UACGGGGGGGGCAAGCGUUGUUCGGAAUUACUGGGCGUAAAGGGCGCGUAGGCGGCCUGCUAAGUCGGAUGUGAAAUCCCUCGGCUCAACCGAGGAACUGCAUCCGAUACUGGCGGGCUUGAAUCCGGGAGAGGGAUGUGGAAUUCCAGGUGUAGCGGUGAAAUGCGUAGAUAUCUGGAGGAACACCGAUGGCGAAGGCAGCUCACUGGGACGGUACUGACGCUGAGACGCGAAAGCGUGGGGAGCAAACAGG
rnacentral:rRNA from 1 species